rnacentral:tRNA from 1 species
GUAAAGAUUAACGUAGAAAACGGAUUCGAAAUCCGUUGUACCUUCACCGGUACCUAGGGUUCGAAUCCCUAUCUCUCCGCCA